rnacentral:lncRNA from 1 species
ACUUACCCCCCUUCUCCUUCGGCUGGAGCUCGGCAAGCGAGAGGCGGCGCUGGCGUUGGAGAGCGGCAGCGGCGCGGCGAAGGCUGCGAACACAAUUGAAAGAUGGCUGACACCGAGGCUUUCCCCUACACACGCCGCCCCGCCCCGCGCCGCGCUCCAGCCAAUCACACACAAUGGAGGGAAGGCUCGGCCCCGCCCAGGGCCCCCGCGCGCCCCGCCCCUCCCCUCCCCCCGCGCGCUCGUUCGCUGGCGCGCGCUCGCUCCUCCCCCGCGCGCCGCCCGCCCAUUCCUCCCGCCGCCUCUCGCGGUGUGUACAAACACAAAAGACACGCCGAGGGGCCCGCCGAGGGGCCGUCUGCCCUAGUCCGUCCCCGGCCCACACUCCCUCCCCGUCGGACGCAGGCGUUAAGGUCUCACUAUGAAGCUCACACUGGCUUUGGACUCAUGAUCCUCUGCCUCACUCUGGCAUAGGCCAUGACAACCCAGCUCUGGUAAGCCUUUUGAAUCUCAUAACCUAUAGAUUCUCCCUGUGUUCAUGCUUUGUUGAAAAGCAUGUCAUUCGUCUUGUGGUCUCAGAUCCUCACUUUUCUCCAAAACUCUUCUCUUCUUGCCCAGAAAAUAGUGUUAUCUGUUAAGGUGCUCCAUGCAACCUGUGAGAACCACCUCUUAGACAGUCCUCUGGCCAUCCAUGACAGGGCCUCAUGC